UCUGGGAUAACCCUUGGGAAACUGGGGAUAAUACCGGAUGGAUCAUCUUUGCUGGAAGGCUUGGUGGUUGAAACGCGAGGCUGUUGGAUGGGUCUGCGGCUGAUUAGGUUGUUGCCGGUGUAAUGUACCGUCAAGCCUGUAAUCAGUACGGGUUGUGGGAGCAAGAGCCCGGAGAUGGAUUCUGAGACACGAAUCCAGGCCCUACGGGGCGCAGCAGGCGCGAAAACUCUACAAUGCAGGCAACUGCGAUAGGGGAACAUCGAGUGGCGUCCAUAUUGGAUGUCUGUCCACCCGCCUAAAAAGCGGGUGUUAGCAAGGGCCGGGCAAGACCGGUGCCAGCCGCCGCGGUAAUACCGGCGGCUCGAGUGGUGGCCGAUAUUAUUGAGUCUAAAGGGUCCGUAGCCGGCUUUGCAAGUCUCUCGGGAAAUCCAGCGGCUUAACCGUUGGGCGUCUGGGGGCUACUACAUUGCUUGGGACUGGGAGAGGCGAGAGGUACUCAGGGGGUAGGAGUGAAAUCCUGUAAUCCUUUGGGGACCACCGGUGGCGAAGGCGUCUCGCCAGAACAGGUCCGACGGUGAGGGACGAAAGCUAGGGGCACGAACCGGAUUAGAUACCCGGGUAGUCCUAGCCGUAAACGAUGCUCGCUAGGUGUCACAACAGUCGUGAACUGUUGUGGUGCCGUAGGGAAGCCGUGAAGCGAGCCACUUGGGAAGUACGACCGCAAGUUGAA
rnacentral:rRNA from 1 species